CUAGAAUGUUAAGACCACACUACCCUUGCUUUCUCUUUUUCCACCAACAAGUUUUUCUUUCAUAUGUGGCGUAAAUUUGAGAAUGUGGAUGGUGGGGGGAGGGGCUGGCUCACUGUUUCACUCUGGCUGGCCUUGAACUAGCAGAUAUCUGCUUGCCUCUGUCUUACAAGUGCUGGGUUAAAGGAAGAGGCACGGGAUCCCCCAGAACUGGAGAGACAGAUGUUUGUGAGCUGUGGAAGAUCAGAUGCGAGCUCUCUGCAGCUGCUACAGUACCAUGCCUGCCUGCCUGCCUCCUUGCUCCUCACCAUGAUGGUCAUAGACUAAUAAUCCUCUGUAGCGAAGACGCUAAGGUGUUUCCAGUGGCAGAGGGACCCAG
rnacentral:lncRNA from 1 species